CACGAAAGUUCCUCUGUCUUAAAAAAAUACUUAAUGAAAUUGAAUUUGUAGUGAAGAUGCUACAUUAAAAUUGUAAGACGAGAAGUCCCCAUGGAGCUUUACUGAAAGCUUAAGAUUUUCUAUAAGCGGGACAGUUUUGUUGGGGCGACAGUUUUUUAAAAAGUAACGAAGACGAACUAUGGCGGAGCUUCACCCUGAAAAAUUUUUUAAGGGACAUCUUUGGUGUGUUUUACGAUCCGUUGUUUGGAAUGAAAAAAAUAACGAAAACA
rnacentral:rRNA from 1 species